GAGUAUUUGGAUUUUACAAUAAAUCCAUAGACGGCUACAUGAAAAUCACGUUAGAUGUCGCUGAUGCCUCAAAUUCAUUCGACAAUUUGGCCAAAUUUGGCAUAAUUUGAGAAAACUAACCUAAAAGGGUCGCAUACGUUUUUACUUCUAAUAUUUUAAUUAAAUUUAUUGUUUGUUGUAUAACGUAUUAAUAAAGACGAAGUCACAGUUGUUAAUCAUAUUAGGGUCGAUUACUGAAUUAUUUUUUUCAGAUUGGAAAAUCAAAAGACAAUUAUUGAAGCAGUAAUAUGGAUUUGGAUUCCAACGUUGUGCCAACGCUCAAUUUCAACAAAAGAAACAAACUAUUCUUUUAUUUAUUUCUUAUCUGAUGUUAAGUAAACCAAUGUUGAGAUAUUAAAUAAAUGUCUUGAUACAAAUUGUA